rnacentral:tRNA from 2 species
AGAGUAACGCCAUGGUAAGGCGUAAGUCAUCGGUUCAAAUCUGAUAAAGGGCU